GUGCCAGCCGCCGCGGUACUACCGGCAGCUCAAGUGAUGUCCCAUAUUAUUAGGCCUAAAGCGUCCGUAGCUGGCCGACCAAGUCCGUCGGGAAAUCCACCUGCCCAACAGGUGGGCGUCCGGCGGAAACUGGCCGGCUUGGAACCGGAAGGCUCAGAGAGUACGUCCGGGGUAGGAGUGAAAUCCCGUAAUCCCGGACGGACUACCGAUGGCGAAAGCACUCUGAGAAGACGGCUUCGACAGUGAGGGACGAAAGCUCGGGUCUCAAACCGGAUUAGAAACCCUUGUAGUCC
rnacentral:rRNA from 1 species